rnacentral:rRNA from 1 species
AGAGUUUGAUCCUGGCUCAGAUUGAACGCUGGCGGCAGGCUUAACACAUGCAAGUCGAGCGGAGAGAGGUAGCUUGCUACUGAUCUUAGCGGCGGACGGGUGAGUAAUGCUUAGGAAUCUGCCUAUUAGUGGGGGACAACAUUUCGAAAGGAAUGCUAAUACCGCAUACGUCCUACGGGAGAAAGCAGGGGAUCUUCGGACCUUGCGCUAAUAGAUGAGCCUAAGUCGGAUUAGCUAGUUGGUGGGGUAAAGGCCUACCAAGGCGACGAUCUGUAGCGGGUCUGAGAGGAUGAUCCGCCACACUGGGACUGAGACACGGCCCAGACUCCUACGGGAGGCAGCAGUGGGGAAUAUUGGACAAUGGGCGCAAGCCUGAUCCAGCCAUGCCGCGUGUGUGAAGAAGGCCUUAUGGUUGUAAAGCACUUUAAGCGAGGAGGAGGCUACUUUAGAUAAUACCUAGAGAUAGUGGACGUUACUCGCAGAAUAAGCACCGGCUAACUCUGUGCCAGCAGCCGCGGUAAUACAGAGGGUGCAAGCGUUAAUCGGAUUUACUGGGCGUAAAGCGCGCGUAGGCGGCUAAUUAAGUCAAAUGUGAAAUCCCCGAGCUUAACUUGGGAAUUGCAUUCGAUACUGGUUAGCUAGAGUGUGGGAGAGGAUGGUAGAAUUCCAGGUGUAGCGGUGAAAUGCGUAGAGAUCUGGAGGAAUACCGAUGGCGAAGGCAGCCAUCUGGCCUAACACUGACGCUGAGGUGCGAAAGCAUGGGGAGCAAACAGGAUUAGAUACCCUGGUAGUCCAA